CUUUGGGUGUCCUUCCCCCCAAUUUUCCUUUAUUCCUGCCUUCCCCUAUAGACUAUAGUAACCUGGGAGGAGGAGCAGCUGGUGUGUGUGCAGAAAGGGGAGGUCCCCAACCGGGGCUGGAGACACUGGCUGGAGGGAGAGGAGUUGCAUCUGGAACUGACUGCGAGGGACGCGGUGUGCAAGCAGGUCUUCAGGAAGGUCAGAUAGCCAGAGAGGAACCAAGGCCCUCCCGACAGCACCAAACCAGGCCCCUCUUGUUUGUGCCAUUUUCAAGCCCAGCUUGUGCCAGAAAGCCUCAAGUACUCAACAGAACCCAGUCAGAGGCAUGGCCUCAACCACUCUGUCCCACGGAUCCACCUUACUGACAUCUGAAGACAUCCUGGCCAGUUUCCUCCACGUUUUGGAGAAAAGGGAUGGAACUGGGUGAGAGUUUUGGCCAGUGCUGGGGAGUCUGGGAGCUUCCAAAUAGUGCCCUGGCCUCUGUGUCUACUUUGGGAAAGACAGGCAGCAAGAAGGACUGGAAAGGGAAGCAGGGGCUGGAGUUGUGGCUCAAGUGGUAGAGCCUAGCACGUGUGAGGCCCUGGGUUCGAUCCUCAGUAUCACAUAAAAAUAAAAUAAAGAUAUUGUGCCCA
rnacentral:lncRNA from 1 species